rnacentral:rRNA from 1 species
AUGCUCGACUUCGACUCCGAAGACAUCGACGGUAUGGACGACGAUGCAGGAGAUGAACAGGAACCACUGCCCACAGGGCACCGGACACCCACUUCAUCAUAUGAUGUAUACAUGGUGGACACACCCAACGAAAACGAAGACGAGGAACGGAAGGACGCGGCGAAGGAUCGUUCCCUCGAGAAGCAGUCAAAGCGGCGGCGUAAGCACCGCUCCAAAUCCCGCCUCGGCAGAAACAACAGUCAUACAAACCCAGCGAUAGAGCAGGGUGAGCCAGUGGACGACGAACAUGGCAUGGAACUGCCGUCCGACCACGGCAACUCGGAGAAUCAAACCAAACAACCCGUCUUCGGCAAAGAUAACAGUCCGGAUGACAUCACAUCGGACGAGCACCUGGAGCAACAGAAUCUCCAUCAAAGGCUUUUUGCCACUGCGCGGAGUCUGAAAAAGCAGAAGCGAAAGCUCAGGGCUGCACAAGAUACACUCAGAAUUAGAUGGAGUAAAGUACUCAACACCGUAGAAAAGUACGGCGACAGUCGCCACACAAAGAGCUACCCGAAGCGAAAGCUGCUGCCUGAAUUUGAUGAUGAGGCUUAG